GCCAGCAUGAUGCAGUGGCUUGAGUGUUAGACUAUCAAUCUGGAGACCAGGGUUUGAAUCCCCGUUUAGCCA